rnacentral:tRNA from 1 species
UCAAGGGUUUUAAGGGUAGAAAACAUAGGGGGCGGAUGUAGCCAAGUGGAUCAAGGCAGUGGAUUGUGAAUCCACC